AGUUACUUGUGGCACUUCGCCCCGUAAAACUCGAACUACACCCAACCCGGCUGAGGCCCAGUAACUCAUCUUCUCCUACCAUUUCACUGUAAUUUGAUCAAUCGAGCGUUUCUCUGUGUGUUCAAUCGGAGAAAACAAAAUGGAGGAGAAGCUCAGCUGUGAUGGAGGUCACGAAUUCAAGCUGCUAUUCUCAUGUCCUUCUGGUUUAUCUCCUUCACAGGUGUCAGUUGUUUUCGAUGAAGUAUACGAUAGGAUUCCCCAUACGGAUCAUACUUUGGAGAAGUCCAUUUCUGAGAUAUGGGAUGCAAGAGUUGAACAAAGUUCAUCACUUUACAAUGGAACAAAGUUCAGGUAUGGUGGGUACAACUUCAAUGUAGAGAAUGAUCCCAAGCAACAACCUCAUGUUUCCCUUCAUCUUGGUCUGACAGAUUAUAGGACAUUCGUGGGAACAAAUUUAAGUCCUAUGUGGGAAAGAUUUCUUGUUCCAUCUGAAGAUGACUGUAUACAGUGUCAGCACACAUCAAGUCCUCUUGGUAAUGGUGCAGUUGUGGAGACUUCUGACAGAAGAAUACUUGUGCUUCAGAGAAGUAAUAAAGUUGGAGAAUUCCCUGGAUAUUUUGUUUUUCCUGGAGGCCAUCCAGAGCCCCAAGAAGUCGGAAUAAUCUCCCAUGAAGGCUUCCAAGAGCUGAAUCAAUGUCACAUGAUUAACAGCAAAGUUUCUCAGGAAAUGUUUGACAGCAUUGUCCGUGAAGUUGUUGAAGAAAUUGGAACUCCUGCAGAUUCCCUCCCCCAUCUUUAUUGGUAUAUCCAGAAGAUUAUUGAAUGUCAGACCAACUGCUUUUUUCUUCAUCAAAUGCGAUCUUCGGUCAGAUGAAAUUCAACUACUGUAUUCUAAUGCACAGGAUGGCUUCGAGUCAACUCAGCUUUAUGCUGUUUCAAUGAGUGAUCUAGAGAACAUGGCUUCUAAAAUGCCUGGCUGCCACAGAGGAGGCUAUGCACUCUACAAAUUAAUGGUACAAGGCACAAGUGAUAGCUUAUCACAUCCUUUGCUGAAUGAGAACUUUGUAGCCUCUUAAUCUCGUCUGCCUGAUUUAUUCAUGUUUGUCUCACAGUCGUUGAAGUUCAAUCACAUCAAGGCAAGUGAUAGGUAAUCACAUCAUUUGCUGAAAGAGGAAUGUAGCCUCUUAAUCUCUUGUAUGCCUUAUUUAUAAUGCGUUUGUCUCACAUUCCUUGAUGUGUUAUUUCAUUGAUCAAAAGAAAAGUUCCCAUGGAAAUCCAAGUGAGCUAACAUACACAGAUUAUGUAAUUUUUUCAUGUCGAAUGACAAGCAAACACAUAUGCCUUUGCUUCUUUACUUAUUUUUGUUUUAUGAAUUGAUUUAUUCGAA